GCUACGGGAGGCAGCAGUGAGGAAUAUUGGUCAAUGGACGCAAGUCUGAACCAGCCAUGCCGCGUGCAGGAAGACGGCUCUAUGAGUUGUAAACUGCUUUUGUACGAGGGUAAACGCAGAUACGCGUAUCUGUCUGAAAGUAUCGUACGAAUAAGGAUCGGCUAACUCCGUGCUAGCAGCCGCGGUAAUACGGAGGAUUCAAGCGUUAUCCGGAUUUAUUGGGUUUAAAGGGUGCGUAGGCGGUCGGAUAAGUUAGAGGUGAAAUCCCGAGGCUCAACUUCGGAAUUUCCUCUGAUAUUGUUCGGCUAGAGAGUAGUUGCGGUAGGCGGAAUGUAUGGUGUAGCGGUGAAAUGCUUAGAGAUCAUACAGAACACCGAGUGCGAAGGCAGCUUACCAAGCUACUUCUGACGUUGAGGCACGAAAGCGUGGGGAGCAAACAGGAUUAGAUACCCUGGUAGUC
rnacentral:rRNA from 1 species